AGUGAACGCUGGCGGUAGGCCUAACACAUGCAAGUCGAACGGCAGCACAGUAAGAGCUUGCUCUUACGGGUGGCGAGUGGCGGACGGGUGGGGAAUACAUCGGAAUCUACUUUUUCGUGGGGGAUAACGUAGGGAAACUUACGCUAAUACCGCAUACGACCUACGGGUGAAAGCAGGGGAUCUUCGGACCUUGCGCGAUUGAAUGAGCCGAUGUCGGAUUAGCUAGUUGGCGGGGUAAAGGCCCACCAAGGCGACGAUCCGUAGCUGGUCUGAGAGGAUGAUCAGACACACUGGAACUGAGACACGGUCCAGACUCCUACGGGAGGCAGCAGUGGGGAAUAUUGGACAAUGGGCGCAAGCCUGAUCCAGCCAUACCGCGUGGGUGAAGAAGGCCUUCGGGUUGUAAAGCCCUUUUGUUGGGAAAGAAAAGCAGCAGGUUAAUACCCCGCUGUUCUGACGGUACCCAAAGAAUAAGCACCGGCUAACUUCGUG
rnacentral:rRNA from 1 species